CGCACCUUGCGCCCCUUGGUAUUCCAUGGGGCACACCUGUUUGAGUGUCACGCUCCCUCUCGCUCAAUGAAUGGUCACCUGUUCAUUGCACGGACUUGAGUGUUGCCGUCGUUGGCUCGCUCGAAAUGCAUUAGCUGGCUGAAGGUGAAGAGCUUUUGGUGUAAUACUUUCUUUGCGCCGCUGGGCUCUGCAUCUGAUUGCAAGCUUCUAAUCGCCCGCGAGGGCAACUUUUAAGACUUUGGCCUCAAAUCAGGUGGGACUACCCGCUGAACUUAA
rnacentral:misc_RNA from 1 species